GAGGAAGAGGUUGGCGACGGAGUAAUUGAUCGGAGGUAGUUUUUCUUGCAUGCAAACUUGGAUUCUGAAUCAGGUUUUGAUAUCUACAAAAGCCCACCGAAGAAGCUAAGGGAAAGGAAACAAGUAAGGUUUGAUUUUGAAGCAGAAGGUUCAGUGAAGCCUAGUAGCUCGAAGGAUAAGGAGGU